UACGAAGGGGGCUAGCGUUGUUCGGAAUUACUGGGCGUAAAGCGCGCGCAGGCGGUCCUUCAAGUCAGAGGUGAAAGCCCAGAGCUCAACUCUGGAAUGGCCUUUGAGACUAGAGGACUUGGGUACGGGAGAGGUGAGUGGAAUUCCGAGUGUAGAGGUGAAAUUCGUAGAUAUUCGGAAGAACACCAGUGGCGAAGGCGGCUCACUGGCCCGUUACCGACGCUCAGGCGCGACAGCGUGGGGAGCAAACGGG
rnacentral:rRNA from 1 species